rnacentral:rRNA from 1 species
CUUUACUAUAGCUUCGCAGUGGCAAUACGACUGACAUGUGUAGCAUAGGUGGGAGACUUUGAAGUCGCGGCGCCAGCCGUGAUGGAGUCUUUAGUGAAAUACCACCCUUGUUUUUUGUGUUGUCUAACUUCGCACCGUUAUCCGGUGCAAGGACCCUGCGUGGUGGGUAGUUUGACUGGGGCGGUCGCCUCCCAAAUUGUAACGGAGGCGCGCGAUGGUUGGCUCAGGACGGUCGGAAAUCGUCCAUUGAGUGCAUUGGCAUAAGCCAGCCUUACUGCAAGACUGACAAGUCAAGCAGUUACGAAAGUAGGUCAAAGUGAUCCGGUGGUUUCCGCAUGGAAGGGCCAUCGCUCAACGGAUAAAAGGUA